rnacentral:snRNA from 1 species
UACUUGCUUCGGCAGUAUAUAACUAAAACUGGAAUGAUACAGAGAAGAUUAGCAUGGCCCCUGCACAAGGCUGACACGCAAAAUCGUGAAGCGAUCCACAUUUUU